rnacentral:rRNA from 1 species
UACAGAGGCCCCAAGCGUUACUGAGAAUCACUGGGUUUAAAGGGUGCGUAGGCGGUUUGCUAAGACCGAUGUGAAAUCCCCGGGCUUAACCUGGGAACUGCAUUGGUGACUGGCAGGCUAGAGUAUGGCAGAGGGGGGUAGAAUUCCACGUGUAGCAGUGAAAUGCGUAGAGAUGUGGAGGAAUACCGAUGGCGAAGGCAGCCCCCUGGGCCAAUACUGACGCUCAUGCACGAAAGCGUGGGGAGCAAACAGG